GCAGAUGCUACUGGUAUUGGGAUUCGAUUAAGCCAUGCAAGUCGAACGAGUUUAGGCUCGUGGCGUACGGCUCAGUAACACGUGGAUAACCUACCCUUAGGACCGGGAUAACCUUGGGAAACUGAGGAUAAUACUGGAUAGGCAAUUUUUCCUGUAAUGGUUUUUUGUUUAAAUGUUUUUUCGCCUAAGGAUGGGUUUGCGGCCGAUUAGGUAGUUGGUUAGGUAAUGGCUUACCAAGCCUUUGAUCGGUACGGGUUGUGAGAGCAAGAGCCCGGAGAUGGAACCUGAGACAAGGUUCCAGGCCCUACGGGGUGCAGCAGGCGCGAAACCUCCGCAAUGUGAGAAAUCGCGACGGGGGGAUCCCAAGUGCCAUUCUUAACGGGAUGGCUUUUCAUUAGUGUAAAGAGGUUUUGGAAU
rnacentral:rRNA from 1 species